UACGAAGGGGGCUAGCGUUGCUCGGAAUCACUGGGCGUAAAGCGCACGUAGGCGGAUUGCUAAGUCAGGGGUGAAAUCCUGGAGCUCAACUCCAGAACUGCCUUUGAUACUGGCGAUCUCGAGUCCGGGAGAGGUGAGUGGAACUGCGAGUGUAGAGGUGAAAUUCGUAGAUAUCGCAAGAACACCAGUGGCGAAGGCGGCUCACUGGCCCGGUACUGACGCUGAGGUGCGAAAGCGUGGGGAGCAAACAGG
rnacentral:rRNA from 1 species